rnacentral:miRNA from 8 species
UACUGCGCUAGAUGUUCCUUUUGGC